rnacentral:rRNA from 1 species
CCCUUAGAUGUCCUGGGCCGCACGCGCGUUACACUGAUGCAUUCAACGAGCUUAUAACCUUGGCCGAGAGGCCUGGGCAAUCUUGUUAACGUGCAUCGUGAUAGGGAUAGAUUAUUGAAAUUAUUAAUCUUGAACGAGGAAUUCCUAGUAAACGCAGAUCAUCAAUCUGCAUUGAUUACGUCCCUGCCCUUUGUACACACCGCCCGUCGCACCUACCGAUUGGAUGGUCCGGUGAAGCCUCGGGAUUGUGGUUCUUGCCGCUUUAUUGUGGCGUGACCGCGAGAACUUGUCUAAACCUUAUCAUCUAGAGUAAGGUGAAGUCGUAACA